UUACGCGCCACCGCUGGGACUCCACGGUCUCGUCGCCCGUGAUAACGCACUUCCGUGUGUAUCAAAAAUAGAAGUGGAGCGUCUAGAAACGCUGUCGGAGCUGUAUCGAGGGUAACCGAGAAGAAGAGGUCCCAAGUAAUUCUCCAAGAGAGAGAGUAUUCUACCACAAUGCGGUGGCUGAUACUCUCGGAAACCUUUCGGAAGCAAACCGAGAGACUGCGAUCUAGCGCCGACAUUGUGGCACUGUCCGACGCACACACUGCUGAUAAGACUUCCUUUCCCGCUAAGUUCUCUGCCGGCAAAAAAAAAACCCUGGAAAAUACCUCUCGUCAUAAACAUUACACUAAACAAGAGUGGUCUCGCCUGAGCAUCGUUCUGCUCGCGUUAAAUCCACGCGAGGGACGACCAAUGACGAAAGUGAGCAAACUCUGAAGUGCGGGAUAAAAGGAAACGUUUGCCGAGAUCUGGCUGGUGUUGCGAAAAGAUUGUAUCGAGUGAUCGAUCGUUCGUGAUACCGGCUUAUUAUUACGUUAAUUUAUUUCUUACUGUUGAAAAUUUCUUUAUUGCAUUCUCUUUCUAUGUUAUCUAUUUGACAACAGAUUUGCAUAUAUUUCUUUUAAGAAAAAAUUCUUGUUACAAACUUCAACUAUAUGUAAUAUUCAUGAAAGUUAUUUCUGAACCUGAUAUGAAUAUUUUCCUCACAUUUUCGACAAAAUAUGCUUUUAAAGUUUCGAACUUUGUGAAAGAUAUAAUUUAUACAGCAUAGUUUACCAUUAUCGUAUGUUUUCUAUUAAAUAAAGUAUCUAUAA
rnacentral:lncRNA from 13 species